rnacentral:rRNA from 1 species
GAGGUAGUAAUAUCUAAGUGGCAAACGGGUGAGUAACACGUAGUUUACCUGCCCUGAAUGGGGGGAUAACGUCUCGUAAAGAGACGCUAAUACCGCAUAAGCUCACGAUCUAUAGAGGGGUUGUGUAGAAAAAGGGAGAAAUCCGCUUUGGAGGGGACUGCGGCCUAUCAGCUAGAUGGUGAGGUAAUAGCUUACCAUGGCAACGACGGUAGGGGGCCUGAGAGGGUAGACCCCCACACUGGGACUGAGAAACGGCCCCAGACUCCUACGGGAGGCAGCAGUGAGGGAUAUUGCACAAUGGGCGAAAGCCUGAUGCUAGCGACGCCGCGUGGGAGAAGAAGGCCUUCGGGUUGUAAAUCCCUUUUUUUGCGUGACGAGAAAAAGGACGGUAGCGCAAGAAUAAGUCUCGGCUAACUACGUGUCCAGCAGCCGCGGUAAAACGUAGGAGACAAACGUUAUCCGGAGUUACUGGGCGUAAAGU